rnacentral:ncRNA from 1 species
AAAAUCGCCGACUGCCUUGGUGCUUCGCCGGCGCACGCCGGCAAGUUAAACGGGAAACAGGUGACCCCUGUGCUGCCCCCGCAACGGUGCGUUUCUUCAAGAACCUGUUCAAUGUCUGCUGCGACAGCUCCCAAUGGGGCGAUACGGCAUUAAAAACGACUUCGGCAUGCUUGUUUAUAUUAGUAACAAAUGCCACUUUCUCAGUCGUUUUUGACUUGUCUCGCGUGAGCUCGCGAGGAUUUGAACAGGUUCUAAGGUCUGCCGGCCCUGCCGUCAUGACCGCCCUGCCCAUCGCCACUGUGAGUCAUCACGGGAAGGCGGGCAGACGGCGAAACCAGCCCGGAUACCGGCCACGGCGAACGCGCGCAC